CCUACGGGUGGCAGCAGUGGGGAAUAUUGGGCAAUGGGCGCAAGCCUGACCCAGCAACGCCGCGUGAAGGAAGAAGGCUUUCUGGUUGUAAACUUCUUUUAAGAGGGAAGAGCAGCAUACGGUACCUCUUGAAUAAGCCACGGCUAACUACGUGCCAGCAGCCGCGGUCAUACGUAGGUGGCAAGCGUUGUCCGUGUUUACUGGGUGUAAAGGGCGUGCAGCCGGGAAGACAAGUCAGAUGUGAAAUCCCGCGGCUCAACCGCGGAACUGCAUUUGAAACUGUUUGUCUUGAGUACCGGAGAGGUCAUCGGAAUUCCUUGUGUAGCGGUGAAAUGCGUAGAUAUAAGGAAGAACACCAGUGGCGAAGGCGGAUGACUGGACGGCAACUGACGGUGAGGCGCGAAAGCGUGGGGAGCAAACAGGAUUAGAUACCCCAGUAGUC
rnacentral:rRNA from 1 species